CAGUCGUACCUGCGGAUAAUCAGCCUUUAGGAUGCGAUUUUGUGGAGUGUGAGGAGCUAAUCGCCUUCAUGCCUGUAUAUUCGUGUACUUGGGGUGUACUUAUUCGUGUGGUAAGUUAACAUCAAUUUUGGUCGUCAUAAAAUGACUGGAGGAAUGUAGCUUCGAUCUCGUAUUGAAGUGUUAUAGCCUUUGGUAGAUGUGAUUAUCGGGAUUGAGGAUUGCAACGGAUACCCUUCGGGGCUACUUGUCUGAUCUCUGAUCGUUGCUCUGGUGCCGAAAGCGUGCUUACGGUUAUCAAAGUCGAUGGUUAAUAGGUUAGAACGGGUUAAA
rnacentral:rRNA from 2 species